UUAUAAAUCAACCAAGUUUCUUGAAAACAAUAAUUUUUGUUCAGAAGUACUGUUGUGAGUGAGGAGAACAUUGUGCAGCUCAGCCUGUGGACAUACAGUGGCUGCAGCGUGGGCCCCAGGCUGCUCUCAUGCUCGCUGGGCCUGCUGGGUCUGCUGGGCCUGCUGGAACAGGAAGCAGCAACGCAAUUCCACCAGAGGAACCACAGGGAAACCAAGGCUGACUGAAGUCUGAGAAGAAAGCCUGUCUAGAGUCACAGGAGUGAAAAUAAGAAAACAAAAUUUAGUCAGGAAAUUGCACCAUGGAAAUGUCUGGCGUCAGGUUCUAUAAAUUCCGACCCGACUAUAGUCAAGUAUUUGCCGAGCCACCUCGUGUUUGCUUCAGAUCUGUGUUUGCUGCUUCUUUUUGCACAGAUUUGUCUUUUGUUUCCUUCCCAUUAAAAACAGGAGGCAGCGGGUUAGCUGUGCUGGGUUACACAGCAGCAGAUGGUGUUGCCCACCAUGGGCAGAGAUCUCACAUGAGAGAGCGGGGAGGGAGGGUGGACAUGUCACACCCAUGCCAUUUUCCUGCUGGAAACUCUACCUCACACAUGCAGGGACCACAAUGGAUUUGACAAGAACCACUCAUAUAAAGGCAGAAAGUCUUUUAAUUACAUAAAAUCUGAAACUAUGUGUUAGAAGCAGUGGUCUCUUGCCAUUUCUGUGGAUACCCAUCUUCCAUAUAGUCUUACUCAAAGUUAAUUGAAGACAAGCAGAAGUGAGGCCUGGAGUCAGUGUGGGGGUGAUUUGUAAUGACAAGUUGGAAUUGAAUCCUGGUGGGACAUCACAGAGCUGGGUGAUAUGUGGCGUGUGGUGGUGGUGGUGGUGGUGAAGAAGACGGGUUCUUAAGAAUACAAACCCUUGAACAUGUCAGAUUUAGUCUACUUUCCCUUCUUGAUUCUCUGGGUUCCCCUUCUGUUAGUCUUCAAUCAAGUCCUUUUUGGAAAGAUUCCUUUCCCUUUGUUUAGAGAACAUUGGUCAACUUUGAAUAACAAAUGAGAAUAGAAAUGACAAAAACGUCUCCAGGUCUCAGCUGUGGGACCUUAUGAGCAGUGUUGCACAAAGACAUUCCCCCCAAAGCCUGCUACUGUUACUUUUAGGAUGUUCAUUUAAAAAAAAAAUCUCUUUUCCCUAGGUCGGGAAGAUGACCUUCACCAUAUAAUUUCGGACUAAAAUCUGCAGAUUGUAACCAUAGUUAGGAGGCAGUUCUUCAUUAAAAUACCCUGCAUUUAAUCUUUCACAUAUUGUACAAAAGUAAAACCAAAACAAAAUAAUACUGAAUGGUAAAGUAAUAUUAUUUUUUUAUUUUGCUAAAAUUCCAUGGGGUGUUCAUUUUCUUUAUGACUCGUCUCUUAUUCCUAGCUCAUUCUCGUGUGUCUAUCACAGUGAAGUUGCUGUAGACACCCUCAGAUUUCUAGAAAUAGUAUCUGAAGUGUUCCCAGAGGGAAUAGGAUUUAGGGCCAAGGAAUUAGGAUGGUCCCACUCUGUGCCCAUGUAUAAUGCCACACAGACUGAGUGACUUUCCUCCAAAUGGAUAUCGGGCUGGCAUAUUUUGGGACCUAUUGAAUGUUUUUGGUCCCAUUCCAGUUUACUGUUAACAGCCUCAUCUAUUUGUGAACAGACACAGGAGUAGUAUCUAUAUGACACAAAGGGAUGUUUGACAACUUUUAGCUAAUUUGGCCACUACAGAUGGCCAUGGGCAGGUGAGAGCCAGAACAAAGUGUUGGAGCACUGAGGUUUAUCAUUCAGCGGUCCCCGGCUUCCUGCCCAGCUGAGCUCAUGACCUUUGCCAACCAGAGUUUUCCUGAAUAAACAAACACAGGUCCCCUACCAGAUGGAGAGGUGCUUAAUAGAACCAGGCUGCCAGGCCUAGCAAUUGUGCCACUAGUUGUGACCAGGCUUGGGAAAUUUAGAAGCUGUGUCUUGUUUGCUGGGGCCUCUUUCCCCAGAUCUGCUAGUUCUGGAGAUUCCAGUAGGCACUGAGCAUCUCACUGGUUCCUCUGUGUGCAUUUUUCCUUGUGCUGUGAACCAGCAUCCUGGUAAUUCCUGUUAAUCUCUGCACUUCUUCAGAGUGUCUUCUAAACCAGGAAUCCUUUAUCUGGGGAACUUUUACCCUGAUAAAUGCUGGUGCACUGCAAAUUAUUGAAUGUCAUUAGGGUGCCCCAGAAGCUAGAUUAUUCUAGACUCCAGAUUGAACAAUGGCUUAUGUAUUUUUCUGAGGAGGGCAUAUCCUGCGAAGGGAAGCCCAGACGUUCUGGUGAGUUGGAGGUGCAUUGUUACCGUGUCCUUACACACUGUGUCCAUUCACUGGUUUAGCACUUGAUUGUAACAGCAUAUAUUAUUUUCUAAACUUUUUAUCUACAAAAUCUCGCCUCAUCAACAAAAUUGUUAAACUCCUCAAGAGUAGUGAUCCUAUGUUUGGUACAUUUUGCUCCCCCCAGAGUACUG
rnacentral:lncRNA from 1 species